rnacentral:sRNA from 1 species
CGCCUCACACAAUUCCGAAACAUGGUGUCAGAUGUGCUAAAAGAAGCGAAGUAACGAGAAAAGACAAUAGUCCGACGUCUGGACAGAACUAAAUAAAUCAGGGAGUACAUAUAUAUCCAAAACACUGCCCAUCGCAAUUGACCUCGUUCGUUUCCUUUGUCUAUAAAACGUAAACAAUGGAGAAACUGAGAGCCCCAGAAAGAUUUAACUUAGACGCUCAUGAUCUUGCCGAUGCAUGGAAGAAAUGGAAGGAAGAGUUAAAUCUAUAUAUCGAUUUGGUAAUGGACAGCGAGGAUGAGCAAGCAAAGGUUAAACUAUUUCAGUAUUUAGUCGGUACGAGAGGCCGUGAGAUCUACCUUACAAUGGCAUUCGAACAAGAACCACAAAAUAGGACACUAGCAAUGGUCCUACAGGCGUUUGAUGGGUAUUGCAAUCCAAAACGAAACGAAACUGUAGAAAGAUACCGAUUUAAUAUGAGAAACCAGAAUAAAGAGGAGACAUUUGAAAAGUAUGUCACCGAGUUGAAAAUAUUAGCAACAACUUGCAACUAUGGAGCGCUGCAAGAGUCAUUAAUAAGAGACAAAAUUAUCUGUGGUAUUCAAGAUUCACACUUAAGAGAAAGAUUAUUAAGAGUUAUAGACUUAGACCUACCGAAAUGUUUACAAAUUUCAAGAGCAGCAGAACUGUCUAAAGAGAGAAUAAAAACAUUAGAAAACCCAACUUUUUCAGACUUAGAAGUACAUGGUGUCAAACAUAAACAAAGAAAUCCUAAUUAUCAACAGCAAAAGCAAUAUACACAUAAAACUAAACCGUCUUAUGCACAAAACUCUUCUGCUUGUAAAUAUUGCGGAAGAAAACACGAAUUUAACAAGGCAAAAUGUCCCGCUUUUGGGAAGGAGUGUAGGAAAUGUGGUAAAGCAAAUCAUUUCGAAAGCAUGUGCAAAUCAGAACAAAAAUCAAGGCAAAGACGUCACCUAGGACACAGAGUCCGAGCAAUCUCUGAAGAGUCUGAAGAAAGUAAUGAUUAUUUUGAAAUAAAUACAGUAGCACUCACCAAUGUAAACUCUGUUAAAGAAAAGCACAGUAGGCACAUAUAUGCAUCUAUGAAAAUAAUAGGCAAGAAUGAGAAAAGCAAAUUAACAAGAUUUCAAUUAGACAGUGGAGCAACAUGCAAUAUAAUCACUGCAAGAACAUUGAAAGAGCUUGAUAUUAACCAAUUACAGAAAACAAGUCAAAUACUGACAAUGUACAACAAUACCACAAUAAAACCGAUAGGAACAUGCAUUCUAAAAUUGGUGAAUCCAAAGAACAAUGAUAAGUUCAAGGCAGAAUUUGUAGUAGUAAAAGAUGGCACUUUGACUCCGUUGUUAGGUAGCAAAGCAGUGCAAGCUAUGAAUUUGGUAACUGUAAAUUAUGAAAACAUUAAAGCAGUGAGACAGGGUGCACUUUUUAAACCCCUUUCAAAAGAAACCGUUAUGAAGGAAUAUGCAGACAUAUUUGAAGGGACUGGUAAAUUGCAAGGAAAAUAUCAUUUAGAAUUGGACAAUACUGCAAAUCCUGUAGUACAUCCGCCAAGAAAAGUACCUGUCGCUAUUAAAGAGAAGCUUAAAUCCGAAUUGGAAAGACUGACAAAGUUAGAAAUUAUAAAACCAGUUUCAACGCCAACUCCGUGGGUUUCAAGUUUGGUUACUGUCGUAAAACCAGACAAACUUCGGAUAUGCAUUGAUCCGAAGCAUUUGAACCAGCAGUUGAAAAGAAGUCAUUAUCCGCUACCAACUAUCGAUGAUUUACUACCAGAACUGAGUAGAGCGAAGGUUUUUAGUGUCGUUGAUGCUAAGAAUGGAUUUUGGCACGUAGAAUUGGACGAAGAAAGCUCGUUGUUGACAACAUUCAACACACCGUUCGGACGAUACAGAUGGUUGCGAAUGCCGUUCGGUUUAUCUUCUGCACCAGAAGAAUAUCAAAGAAGGCAAGACCAAACUGUUGAAGGUUUGCCAGGUGUACGAAGCAUAGUAGAUGAUAUUCUUAUCUAUGGCGAAGGCGAUACAGAAGAAGAAGCCAUUGAUGACCACGAUAGGAAAUUUCGGGCUUUAAUGGAACGUUGUCGGGAAAGAAACUUAAAACUUAACAAAGAAAAGUUUAAGUUAAAAUUGAAGGAAGUUCGAUUUAUAGGACAUUUAGUAACCAGCGAAGGUUUGAAGCCGGAUCCAGAAAAGAUUCGAGCCGUAAUUGAUAUGCCGAAACCGACAGAUGUUUCCGGAGUAAGAAGAAUUAUUGGAUUUGUAACAUAUCUAAGUAAGUUCUUACCAAAACUUAGCGACAUUUGCGAGCCACUUCGAAAGCUAACUUUGAAGGACUCCGAAUUUUGUUGGAUUGAAAAUCAUGAUAAAGCACUUGAAGAAAUCAAAAGGCUAGUGACUGCUGAGCCAGUUUUAAAAUAUUAUGAUCCUAAACUACAGUUAACAGUUCAAAGCGAUGCUUCACAAACUGGACUUGGUGCUGCAGUUAUGCAAGAAGACAGACCAGUUGCAUAUGCGAGUAGAGCUCUCACUGAUACCGAAACAAGGUAUGCUCAGAUAGAGAAGGAACUAUUAUCAGUCAUUUUCGGACUUGAAAAAUUUCACUCGUAUACAUAUGGUAGAACAGUAAAUGUAAUAUCUGAUCAUAAACCUCUCGAAUCAAUCAUGAAAAAGCCACUUCAUGCUGCACCAAAGCGUUUACAACGUAUGCUUUUACGUUUACAAAAGUACGACAUAAUCCUGCAAUACAGACCAGGAAAGGAGAUGUACUUAGCCGAUACUUUAAGUAGAGCAUACUUAAAAGAGACUUCAGAUUCAAGUAACACAACAGACGAAAUCGAAAGUAUCAACAUGAUAGAUGAGUUGCCGAUAUCUGAAGAGCGAAUUUCUGAACUUCAAGAACAUACUAGGAAGGAUCAACAAAUGCAAGAACUGAAAGAAGUUAUUCAGGAAGGAUGGCCGAGUAACAAAUGGAAUGUACCAUCGAAUGUAUCAAUAUAUUUCGACAUUCGAGAUGAACUGACAUUACAAAAUGGUCUAUUAUUCAAAGGAGAGAGAGUUAUUAUUCCUAAAUCUCUAAGAACUGUUAUGAUUAAAAAGAUUCAUUCAUCACAUAUAGGAAUAGAAGGUUGCUUACGUAGAGCACGUGAAAGUCUUUAUUGGCCGGGAAUGAACGCCGAAGUAAAAGAUUAUAUACAGAGAUGCGAAACAUGUCGAACAUUCGAACGUAAACAACAGAAAGAGACACUUAUAUCACACGAAAUACCAAGUCGUCCAUGGUCAAAAGUAGGAAUCGAUCUAAUGACAUUUCAAAGUAAGAACUAUCUAGUGACAGUAGAUUAUUAUUCUAACUACUGGGAAGUCGAUUAUCUUGAAGAUACUCUUGCGCUAACAGUAAUCAGAAAACUCAGAGCUCAGUUUGCAAGGCACGGUAUACCCGAUGUGUGUUUUACAGACAACGGUCCACAAUUUGACUGUGGAGAGUUUAGAAAAUUUAGCAGACUUUGGGAAUUUAAACAUGACACUUCUUCUCCAUUGUAUGCUCAAAGCAAUGGAAAAGUGGAACAAACAGUACAAACAGUAAAAAGGUUAAUGAAGAAAUCAAAAUUUGACAAAAAGGAUCCAUAUUUAGCAUUUCUCGAUUUUAGAAAUACACCAACCGAGGGUUUUGACAAUAGUCCAGCUGAAAAACUUAUGAACAGAAAGACUAGAACACUUUUACCAACGAAAGAAAGUCUUCUGAAACCGAAAGUGAUUACUCCGAAUAAAGUACAAACAGAAUUAACAAAACAAAAACAGAAGCAACAAUUCUAUUACAAUCAAGGAACAAAAGAUUUACCGAUGUUAAAGAAUGGAGAUACCGUAAGAAUACAACCGUCAAACUUCAACAAAGAGUGGAAGAAAGGAACUAUCAAACAACAAGUCAACAUCAGAUCGUACGAAGUUGAUGUUGGAACGCGAACCAUACGUAGAAAUCGUCGUCAACUUAAACACACACUAGAAGAGGAUAACAAUGAACCUACAGAAAUUGAAAGAGACAAUUCCGACUUUGAACAUGGAGAAAUAAACAAUCAAGACAAUCUUGAAAAUGCGACAGAAAUCGAAAAUGCGAAAGAAACACCGAUUAUGACACGAUCAGGAAGAGUUGUAAAACCACCAGCACGAUUUAAGGAUUUUGUGUGUGAUUAGAUCACAAGUGCGCGCAGGGCAUAAUAAUCCCUGAAGUGAUCUCGUGUAAGUAAUGUAACAUAAUUAUAUACCCGUCUAUUAGAGAAGUAGUGUUUUCAAACAAUCGCUAGGAUAUGUUUUAUGUAUGCAAAACAAUCAUUAUGACAAUAUCUUUGACUUUAACUUCGCAUUUAGACAUUAAAUUUCCUAAGUGUUGAAUAUGAUUUUAUUUGGUAAAACAAAUUUUAUGUAUGACUUUAAUUGGUAAAAUAACUUUUAUGUAAUUAUUUUUAUUUAAAGAAGAAGGGAUGUGACAAUACUAUUAAUAUUUCAAUAUCAGAACUCAGUCAGAAUUAAUUUAGAUAUACCUGCACAACCAAAAUGUAUUAAUAGAUUGCUGACGUAGCAUGCGCACACACUCUCUUGUUAUCAUGUAG